rnacentral:rRNA from 1 species
GCGGUGGAGCAUGUGGUUCAAUUUGACGCAACGGGAAAAACCUUACCUGGGUUUGACAUGUCGGUGGUAGGAAACCGAAAGGGGCCCGACCCCGCAAGGGGAGCCGACACAGGUGUUGCAUGGCUGUCGUCAGUUCGUGUCGUGAGAUGUUGGGUUAAGUCCCGCAACGAGCGCAACCCUCGCCCUUAGUUGCCAACGGAUCAUGCCGGGAAUUUUAGGGGGACUGCCCCGGUUAACGGGGAGGAAGGUGGGGAGGACGUCAAGUCAUCAUGGCCUUUAUGUCCAGGGUUACACACGUGUUACAAUGGCCGGUCAAAGGGGUGGCAAACGGGGAGGCGGAAGCAAUUCCCAAAAACCCGGUUCCAGUUGGG